rnacentral:rRNA from 1 species
ACUCAAAUGAAUUGACGGGGGCCCGCACAAGCGGUGGAGCAUGUGGUUUAAUUCGACGCAACGCGAAGAACCUUACCGAGGCUUGACAUCCCUUGACCGGCUUAGAAAUAGGUCUUUCCUCGCAAGAGGACAAGGUGACAGGUGCUGCAUGGCUGUCGUCAGCUCGUGCCGUGAGGUGUUGGGUUAAGUCCCGCAACGAGCGCAACCCUCGUCGUGUGUUGGUCCAUCCGGAUCUCUCACGCGAGACCGCCGGUGAGAAGCCGGAGGAAGGUGGGGAUGACGUCAAGUCAGCAUGGCCCUUACGUCUCGGGCUACACACGUGCUACAAUGGGUGGGACAACGAGUUCCGAACUCGCAAGGGCAAGGCAAUCUCUUAAACCCAUCCUCAGUUCGGAUUGAAGGCUGCAACUCGCCUUCAUGAAGUCGGAAUCGCUAGUAAACGCAGAUCAGCUACGCUGCGUUGAAUACGUUCCCGGGCCUUGUACACACCGCCCGU